UGCGUAGGCGGAUUAUUAAGUCAGUAGUGAAAUCCUGCAGCUCAACUGUAGAACUGCUAUUGAUACUGGUAAUCUUGAAUUUAGUUGAGGUGGGCGGAAUGUGUAAUGUAGCGGUGAAAUGCUUAGAUAUUACACAGAACACCGAUUGCGAAGGCAGCUCACUAAACUAAUAUUGACGCUGAGGCACGAAAGCGUGGGGAGCGAACAGGAUUAGAUACCCUGGUAGUCC
rnacentral:rRNA from 1 species